GUGCACCAGGCGCGAAACCUCCGCAAUGCGGGAAACCGCGACGGGGGACCCCGAGUGCCGUGGCAACGCCACGGCUUUUCCGGAGUGUAAAAAGCCCCGGGAAUAAGGGCUGGGCAAGGCCGGUGGCAGCCGCCGCGGUAAUACCGGCGGCCCGAGUGGUGGCCGCUAUUAUUGGGCCUAAAGCGUCCGUAGCCGGGCCCGUAAGUCCCUGGCGAAAUCCCACGGCUCAACCGUGGGGCUUGCUGGGGAUACUGCGGGUCUUGGGACCGGGAGAGGCGGGGGGUACCCCUGGGGUAGGGGUGAAAUCCUAUAAUCCCAGGGGGACCGCCAGUGGCGAAGGCGCCCCGCUGGAACGGGUCCGACGGUGAGGGACGAAGGCCAGGGGAGCAAACCGGAUUAGAUACCCGUGUAGU
rnacentral:rRNA from 1 species